rnacentral:rRNA from 1 species
GGAGUUAGCCGGUGCUUCUUCUGUGAGUGAUGUCCUUCCUGCCGGCUAUUAACCCGCAGGCCUUCUUCCUCACUGAAAGUGCUUUACAACCCGAAGGCCUUCUUCACACACGCGGCAUGGCUGGAUCAGGGUUGCCCCCAUUGUCCAAUAUUCCCCACUGCUGCCUCCCGUAGGAGUCUGGGCCGUGUCUCAGUCCCAGUGUGGCUGAUCAUCCUCUCAGACCAGCUACGGAUCGUCGCCUUGGUGAGCCGUUACCUCACCAACCAGCUAAUCCGACAUAGGCUCAUCCGAUAGCGCGAGGCCCGAAGGUCCCCCGCUUUCCCCCGUAGGGCGUAUGCGGUAUUAGCCUGGGUUUCCCCAGGUUAUCCCCCACUACCGGGCAGAUUCCUAUGCAUUACUCACCCGUCCGCCGCUCGCCACCAGGGAGCAAGCUCCCCGUGCUGCCGCUCGACUUGCAUGUGUUAGGCCUGCCGCCAGCGUUCAUCUGACGCCAGAACUACGAACCUCGUACGACGUAGACGGCGGGUCGUCGGACGACGGCGACUAGUAG